UACGGAGGGUGCGAGCGUUGUCCGGAAUCACUGGGCGUAAAGGGCGCGUAGGCGGCGCGGGAAGUCAUCGGUGAAAGUUCAGGGCUCAACUCUGAAUCGGCCGGUGAUACUCUCGUGCUUGAGCACUGUAGAGGCAGGUGGAAUUCCGGGUGUAGCGGUGGAAUGCGUAGAGAUCCGGAAGAGCACCGGUGGCGAAGGCGGCCUGCUGGGCAGUAGCUGACGCUGAUGCGCGACAGCGUGGGGGAGCAAACAGG
rnacentral:rRNA from 1 species